UACAGAGGUCCCAAGCGUUGUUCGGAUUCACUGGGCGUAAAGGGUGCGCAGGUGGGCUGGUAAGUUCGAUGUGAAAGCCCCGGGCUUAACCCGGGAAAGGCAUUGGAUACUACUGGUCUGGAGGAUCGGAGGGGGGACUGGAAUUCUUGGUGUAGCAGUGAAAUGCGUAGAUAUCAAGAGGAACACCAGUGGCGAAGGCGAGUCCCUGGACGAUACCUGACACUGAGGCACGAAAGCCAAGGGAGCAAACAGG
rnacentral:rRNA from 1 species